CCCUAUGGGGUGCAGCAGGCGCGAAAACUUUACCAUGCGGGCAACCGUGAUAAGGAAACCCCGAGUGCCAGCACAGGCUGGCUGUCCGCCAGUUUAAACAACUGGCGAAGAAAGGGCCGGGCAAGACCGGUGCCAGCCGCCGCGGUAAUACCGGCGGCUCGAGUGGUGGCCGCUAUUACUGGGCUUAAAGGGUCCGUAGCUUGAUAAUAGGGUCCCUUGAGAAAUCCGCCGGCUUAACUGGCGGGCGUUCAGGGGAAACUUGUUUUCUAGGGACCGGGAGAGGUGAGGGGUACUGCCGGGGUAGGAGUGAAAUCCUGUAAUCCCGGUGGGACCACCUAUGGCGAAGGCAUCUCACCAGAACGGGUCCGACAGUGAGGGACGAAAGCUGGGGGAGCAAACCGG
rnacentral:rRNA from 1 species